CGGGCGCUCCGCGGACCCCGGACCCGGACUGCGCGCCGGGCCCCGAGGAUUCUGGCCGGUUCGGCCACAAAGAGGCCCCAGGAAGCUUCUUUUGGAAGCAGCACGUCUCCAGCCUGCGGCCACAGAGCAGAGGACCACGCGUUGUAAAACUCGGGCAGAGACCCGCGUGGGCUGGGACGUGGGAGUGGUGGGUUCUCGAGCGUUCCCGCCCCCGGCGAGGGGCCAUCAGGGUCGCCCAAGUCCACGCCGUGGAACUUAAUGUUCCUCCCCUUCGGUUUGCUAGCCAGAAGCACAGUAUCGGGGCGGGGAGGACGGGACAGCCAUCGGGUGAGCACCCAGUGCAGCUCCUUCAGACGACACAGGUAGGCGUUGCUGAGAAAGGAGGAAGGCGAGGCUGGGAGCGGGCGGCCCCCGGUGGCGCGCCGUGAUCGUAUAGUGUGCUUUUCUCCCCAACCACGCCCAAGUCCCGUGGCCCGGUGGGCACUGGCUGGAAGUCCCAAGAAGAAACUGAAAUGGCUAAAAUACAGAGAAACCCUUCCCUGUUAAACACGAGGAAAUGACUGUCCAAACGCAGACCCAGGCUCAUGGUGACCAUCGUCCCUUGCGCACAAAGGCCUGAUGAAGAGUCCCGCCGGCUGGGUAUGGUCGCUGGGCCAGUGCUGAAAAACUGUGACCUUCUGAUUUCUGGAGAAAAUUGGAGGAAAUUUCGGGGGGCGGGAGGUGGAAUAUGGCUCAGAAGAAUAACCGCCAGCUCUAGACUCUUCUGUUUCUAGAGUGACCUAGAAAGAGGCAGGUGGACAGGUCGGCGGGUGUGGGGGAGCUGAGCUGACCUGGGAGGCGGCUGGAAGGAGACCCCCCAGGCCCCCAAGAACUGCCAGGAGCUCAACACCCCACCAAGGGCAUCUCCUCUCUCCUGGGCCUUGCGGAUUUUGAACGCUCAAAAAAUACUCUUUUCUGUC